rnacentral:rRNA from 1 species
AGAGGGGGCAAGCGUUAUUCGGAAUUAUUGGGCGUAAAGGGCGCGUAGGCGGCCUUUCAAGUCUCUCGUGAAAUCCCUCGGCUUAACCGAGGACGUGCGGGAGAUACUGUCAGGCUUGAGUCCGGAAGAGGGUGGCGGAAUUCCCAGCGUAGCGGUGAAAUGUGUAGCUAUUGGGAGGAACACCGGUGGCGAACGCGGCCACCUGGGCCGGAACUGACGCUGAGGCGCGAAAGUGCGGGUAGCAAACGGGAUUAGAUACCCCGGUAGUCCACACCGUAAACGAUGGGCACUUGGUGUCGCGGGUAUCGACCCCUCCGGUGCCGAAGCUAACGCAUUAAGUGCCCCGCAAGGGGAGUACGGUCGCACGGCUG